rnacentral:rRNA from 1 species
UACGAAGGGGGCUAGCGUUGCUCGGAAUCACUGGGCGUAAAGGGUGCGUAGGCGGGGAUUUAAGUCAGGGGUGAAAUCCUGGAGCUCAACUCCAGAACUGCCUUUGAUACUGGCGAGCUUGAGUUCGGGAGAGGUGAGUGGAACUGCGAGUGUAGAGGUGAAAUUCGUAGAUAUUCGCAAGAACACCAGUGGCGAAGGCGGCUCACUGGCCCGAUACUGACGCUGAGGUGCGAAAGCGUGGGGAGCAAACAGG